ACUCUCUUCGGAGAGUGUAUAAAGUGGCGCACGGGUGAGUAACACGUAGGUAAUGUACCGGAGGGUGGGGAAUAACUUAGGGAAACUUAAGCUAAUACCGCAUAAUGCAGCGGCUCGACAUCGAGACAGUUGUUAAAGGAGCAAUCCGCCUUUUGAGCAGCCUGCGGCAGAUUAGCUAGUUGGUAAGGUAAUGGCUUACCAAGGCUACGAUCUGUAACCGACCUGAGAGGGUGGUCGGUCACACUGACACUGAAUAACGGGUCAGACUCCUACGGGAGGCAGCAGUCGGGAAUUUUGGGCAGUGGGCGAAAGCCUGACCCAGCAACGCCGCGUGAAGGAUGAAGUAUUUCGGUAUGUAAACUUCGUAAGAAUAGGAAGAAUAAAUGACGGUACUAUUUGUAAGGUCCGGCUAACUACGUGCCAGCAGCCGCGGUAAUACGUAGGGACCAAGCGUUGUUCGGAUUUACUGGGCGUAAAGGGCGCGUAGGCGGCGUGGUAAGUCAGCUGUGAAAUCUCCGAGCUUAACUCGGAACGGUCAGCUGAUACUGCUGUGCUAGAGUACAGAAGGGGCAAUCGGAAUUCUUGGUGUAGCGGUGAAAUGCGUAGAUAUCAAGAGGAACACCUGAGGUGAAGACGGGUUGCUGGGCUGAUACUGACGCUGAAGCGCGAAAGCUAGGGUAGCAAACGGGAUUAGAUACCCCGGUAGUCCUAGCCCUAAACGAUGUAUGCUUGGUGUCUGGAGUAUUAAUUCUCCGGGUGCCGUCGCUAACGCUUUUAGCAUACCGCCUGGGGAGUACGCACGCAAGUGUG
rnacentral:rRNA from 1 species